rnacentral:rRNA from 1 species
UACGAAGGGGGCUAGCGUUGCUCGGAAUGACUGGGCGUAAAGGGCGCGUAGGCGGAUAGUAACAGUCAGAUGUGAAAUUCCCCGGGCUCAACCUGGGGGCUGCAUUUGAUACGUGCUGUCUAGAGUCCGGAAGAGGGUGGUGGAAUUCCCAGUGUAGAAGGUGAAAUUCGUAGAUAUUGGGAAGAACACCGGUGGCGAAGGCGGCCACCUGGUCCGGCACUGACGCUGAGGCGCGAAAGCGUGGG